GUCGAAUAUCAACAGAGAGAACCUGUACUGUAAGUUAAAAUAACGAAAAGCUAAAGUGCUCCCAUGAAACAUAAGGAAUAUCUGCUUAGUAAGCCCAGUAGCAAUUCUCUAUCUUUAUAUGUAUCUUCUCUUGUAAACAAGUGGUUCUUUUUCGUUUUUGUUUCUUUCUAACCUUUGUGGCAAUACAAUUUUUCAGAUGAGUUUUCUUUAUUGAGAAAGGUCAUGUGGCUAACCUUUUUCCCCCAAGUUUUAAUCCACACUAGUAGUAUUUCGUAGGAAACCAUUGAAUCCAAAUCAAUCGGCAUUGUAACUCCUUUUUUU
rnacentral:lncRNA from 1 species